GUUAGCUUAAAGCGUAAGUAAUUGGUAGACGUACCGAGGAGGGGCGCAUGCGCAAAGCGCUGGGCUGAUAACCCAGAGAUGGAGGUUCGAAUCCUCUGCUUGU
rnacentral:tRNA from 3 species